rnacentral:rRNA from 1 species
CUACGGGCGGCACCAGUAGGGAAUAUUGGACAAUGGGCGAAAGCCUGAUCCAGCAACACCGCGUGCACGAUGACGGCCUUCGGGUUGUAAAGUGCUUUUAGAGGAGAUGAGAAAGGACAGUAUCCUCUGAAUAAGCCUCGGCGAACUACGUGCCAGCAGCCGCGGUAAAACGUAGGAGGCAAGCGUUAUCCGGAUUUAUUGGGCGUAAAGCGCGUGCAGGCGGUCUAGCAAGUUGGAUGUGAAAGCUCCCGGCUCAACUGGGGGAGGUCGUUCAAUACUGUUAGACUAGAGAAUAGGAGAGGGAGGUGGAAUUCCGGGUGUAGUGGUGAAAUGCGUAGAUAUCCGGAGGAACACCAGUGGCGAAAGCGGCCUCCUGGACUAUUUCUGACGCUAAGACGCGAAAGCUAGGGUAGCAAACGGGAUUAGAUACCCGCGUAGUC